AGUGAACGCUGGCGGUAGGCCUAACACAUGCAAGUCGAACGGCAGCACAGUAAGAGCUUGCUCUUACGGGUGGCGAGUGGCGGACGGGUGAGGAAUACAUCGGAAUCUACUUUUUCGUGGGGGAUAACGUAGGGAAACUUACGCUAAUACCGCAUACGACCUACGGGUGAAAGCAGGGGAUCUUCGGACCUUGCGCGAUUGAAUGGGCCGAUGUCGGAUUAGCUAGUUGGCGGGGUAAAGGCCCACCAAGGCGACGAUCCGUAGCUGGUCUGAGAGGAUGUUCAGCCACACUGGAACUGAGACACGGUCCAGACUCCUACGGGAGGCAGCAGUGGGGAAUAUUGGACAAUGGGCGCAAGCCUGAUCCAGCCAUACCGCGUGGGUGAAGAAGGCCUUCGGGUUGUAAAGCCCUUUUGUUGGGAAAGAAAAGCAGCAGGUUAAUACCCCGCUGUUCUGACGGUACCCAAAGAAUAAGCACCGGCUAACUUCGUG
rnacentral:rRNA from 1 species